rnacentral:misc_RNA from 1 species
GGAGUGGCCGAAAGGCAUCUCC